UACGUAGGGGGCAAGCGUUGUCCGGAAUCACUGGGCGUAAAGGGCGCGUAGGUGGCCCGACAAGUCUGUGGUGAAAGCUCGACGCUCAACGUCGAGUCGGCCAUAGAUACUGUUGGGCUGGAGCACUGUAGAGGCUCAUGGAAUUCCGGGUGUAGCGGUGGAAUGCGUAGAGAUCCGGAAGAACACCGGUGGCGAAGGCGGUGAGCUGGGCAGUAGCUGACACUGAGGCGCGACAGCGUGGGGAGCAAACAGG
rnacentral:rRNA from 1 species